rnacentral:tRNA from 1 species
CUUAGCUCAGUUGGAUAGAGCAACGGCCUUCUAAGCCGCAGGUCGAGGGUUCGAAUCCUUCAGGG